CCUGGUAUUUUAGAUACCAAAAUAUAUUUCAGAAAGACAGUGAAGAGAGAUUGAGCCAGUAUAAAGUGAUUUUCCACUGAAAAGUGGAAAAAGAGCACAAAUUUCUAAGACAAACACAGUUAAUAGUGGAUAUACUAUUUUUUCUCAUAUAGUAAAGUUACUAGUCAAAAGUUUGAAUACACUUAGGUCACUUUAGAUCUUUUUUCAUAGUUCUGUAUAUAUUUACAGUACAUAACGGAAAAUUUUAACAAGUAGCUACAAAAAAAGGUCAAGUGUUACAGAAAUAUUCAAUUACCUCCUGUUCAAGAAAGUUCAAAUUAGAAUCUAGACAAUGGGGAAAAGAACAGCCAUAAUAAUAAUAUUUUGUAAAAUUCUUUCAAUGAUAGUAUAGUUUGUUUAAACUCUUAAAACAAUAUUCAAUAUCUCAUGCUUACCUCUCCUGCAU